AUCCAUCUGACGAGUUCCGAAUAGGACGAAACGAAAGUCCUGUAU
rnacentral:hammerhead_ribozyme from 1 species